AGGACUAACGCUGGCGGCGUGCCUAACACAUGCAAGUCGAACGAGGGGUAGCAAUACCCCUAGUGGCAGACGGGUGAGUAACACGUAGUCAACCUACCUCUUAAUGGGGGAUAACUAGCCGAAAGGUUAGCUAAUACCGCAUACGAUCGUCGAGUGGCAUCACACGACGAUGAAAGGAGCAAUCCGUUGAGAGAGGGGACUGCGUCCCAUUAGUUAGUUGGUGGGGUAAUGGCCUACCAAGACUCCGAUGGGUAGCUGGCUUGAGAGAGCGACCAGCCACACUGGAACUGAGACACGGUCCAGACCCCUACGGGAGGCAGCAGUGAGGAAUUUUCCGCAAUGGGGGAAACCCUGACGGAGCGACGCCGCGUGUGGGAAGAAGGCCUUCGGGUCGUAAACCACUGUCGAGGGGGACGAGUAUUGACGGUACCCCUGGAGGAAGCCCCGGCUAACUACGUGCCAGCAGCCGC
rnacentral:rRNA from 1 species